UCGUUCAAGGUUACAAUUUUAAGCCUACACAUUAAUUUAACAUAAUAGAAGAUAAGAUUUCUGAAGUUUUCUUUUUGAUCGCUUUCAAUCAGAAGCGAAAUCAGGAGGGGUUGAGGGGGGGCAUAUGACCCCCCUAGGAUGAAGUUUACUGCUGUUGCCGCCUGCCGCCUGCUGCUGCCGCUGCCGCUGCCGCCUGCUCCUGCCGCAUAAAUCUGGGAUGAGAGAGAAGGGUUGGGGUGAUGGAAGAGAGAAAAAAAGGUGAUGAACUGGUUAGCUGGGGACAGAUGGUGGGUUCUGACUGGCAGCAGGGUAGUAGUAGUCAUUUGAACGAGCUACCUGGGGUCUGGCCGAAAGAGAAUCAAUUCUAUUCUGUUGUGUCGUCGAUGGUGCCGGUGGUGGUGCCGGCUGUGGUCAAACGGUGAGCAACUGAGAGAGUCUCUCUUUGUAAUCCUAUUCUAUUGGUUGUUGGCAAGUUGCAUGGAUCAUUGUCAUUAUAUUUGAUUUGUCGAUUCCCCUUUUUAUUUUUCUUGUUCUUUUUUGUUUUAUAAUUUUCGGUUAUUUUCCUUUAUUUAUAGUGUAUUUGUAUUUACCGUUUACUUUUUGGACAUCUAAUAAAAAUGUCUACAUUUUGAGAGGAAAUUAUGUAAGGACAAUGUCUUGCACUUUAAUUACAAGUUUUUACAAUUAUAUAAUGGG
rnacentral:lncRNA from 1 species